UACGUAGGGUGCGAGCGUUAAUCGGAAUUACUGGGCGUAAAGUGUGCGCAGGCGGCCGCGCAAGUCGAGUGUGAAAUCCCCGAGCUUAACUUGGGAAUUGCGCUCGAAACGGCGAGGCUGGAGUGCCGGAGGGGAGAGUGGAAUUCCCGGUGUAGCGGUGAAAUGCGUAGAGAUCGGGAGGAAUACCGGUGGCGAAAGCGACUCUCUGGACGGCAACUGACGCUGAGGCACGAAAGCGUGGGGAGCAAACAGG
rnacentral:rRNA from 1 species